UCAUGAGAAGUCAAUUCACAUGGGUAAAAGACUGGAGAACUGAGCCCUAGGGGCUUAAAUCCUUUUUUGGAACAGGAAGAAGCAUCGUGGAUCCCUAUAACUUCAGAAGAAUGAAAAUUCACAGGUUGUGCAGAAGUAGCAGUGCUUGCAGUACCAAAGAGGAUGGAAAGGAGGUGGGCCUUUUCCUCCUUCUCACUGACCAGCCAAGCUGACUCAGCAGGCACUGGAGAAGACAUCAAGAGUCCUCUGAAGAGAUGUAGCAGCCGAUGAUUCUUUGCUCCCCACAACUUCCACCCAAGCCCCUGCCUUAUCUUCAAAACAAGUGUG